GACGAACGCUGGCGGCGUGCUUAACACAUGCAAGUCGAACGGAAAGGCCCUGCUUUUGUGGGGUGCUCGAGUGGCGAACGGGUGAGUAACACGUGAGUAACCUGCCCUUGACUUUGGGAUAACUUCAGGAAACUGGGGCUAAUACCGGAUAGGAGCUCCUGCUGCAUGGUGGGGGUUGGAAAGUUUCGGCGGUUGGGGAUGGACUCGCGGCUUAUCAGCUUGUUGGUGGGGUAGUGGCUUACCAAGGCUUUGACGGGUAGCCGGCCUGAGAGGGUGACCGGCCACAUGGGGACUGAGAUACGGCCCAGACUGCUACGGGAGGCAGCAGUGGGGAAUAUUGCACAAUGGGCGGGAGCCUGAUGCAGCAACGCCGGGUGCGGGAUGACGGCCUUCGGGUUGUAAACCGCUUUCGCCUGUGACGAAGCGUGAGUGACGGUAAUGGGUAAAGAAGCACCGGCUAACUACGUG
rnacentral:rRNA from 1 species